rnacentral:rRNA from 1 species
CGCCGCGUGGAGGAUGAAAUAUCUUGGUAUGUAAAUCCUUUCGAUGGGGAAGAUAAUGACGGUACCCAUAGAAGAAGCCCCGGCUAACUUCCGUGC